UUCAGUCUUCAGUAUCCUAAUGCAAAAUCAAAAUCAGUCUUACCUUAAAAAAUUGACUGCAGCGGUUUGGGUUAACUCUCACAGGCUUUCCUCCCUGUCCCACACAAUGUUGAAAGACGAUGGCCAGCCCAGGAUGUCACAAAUGGAGUAGGGUCAAGACUCUCGAAAGGUGGUCCAUUGAUGUCCACAAAAAGAAGAGAGGACAGACUGUUUUCGUGGAGCCCGUUGUGAGAUUUCAUGUCUGUGUCAUUAACUGCUGAAAAAAACCUCUCACAUUCAGCAGCCAACUGGCAAUCAGAAGUCCUGUGUCCCUUGUAGUUUAAACUCUCUGAAGUCUUCAGUUGCUUCACCAAGGAGUUUAGCCAUCUUGUGCACCUCUGUCUCACCAAAGAAGACACGCUCUUCACGCUUUUGUGGCCAGCUGGACAUCUCAAGGGGCCUCAACUGAACAAGCUUCAGUGAGAGGCUCUGCAGUUCCCUUAAAACAUCAUGCAGGCCAAAUCAUACAACCAACUUGCACUGCCAUGCCACUGCUCUCUUGUCCAGCAAGCUUCUCUGCUGAAUCAUGUGAUGGAAGAUAAGUGUUGGGAUUCAGAUUCACUUGAAUGUGACCAGAUCAAUUCUCCUGCUGCUGUUUUCCUAGAUGAAUCUGAAAAUUAAGAAGGAGAAGGAGUUGAGGAGGGUGUUGAAGCUCGUCUGGGAAGGCAGAGAAAGAGGGGAAAUCCCAAGGCCUGGAAGGUGAACAUCCAGAAAAGGAGGAGAGAGAGGGGCCAGUCCUAUCACGGGAGGAAGAAUCAAGAGCCUGGGCUGAAGGAGGCAAGACAAAUGGGGAUGCCAUGCCAGUCUGCCUGCCUGCCACUAAACUGCACUGCAGUGAAGUUUUAGAAUUGAAGAGAGAGGGGAUCUUCAAGUAUUUCUGGGGGAAAUUGGAUUGGAACAUUUUUGUGAAGUCUUUGGUGGAGGUGAGCAGUGUGAAGCGCCGGUGGACAGCAGAAGAAAAAUCCAGGAGGUCAGCAUCCAUUUUUUGCCACCUUGUAGUGGAUGGGAGAAGAAUCAGAGUGUGCCAAUGCAUGUUCCUGUCAACGCUAGGAAUAAAGCAGUGGUGUUUUUUGAAGUGGGUAGGAAGAAGAGGGAAAAGUCCUGAGAAGACUGAGAGAAUGAGUGUGAGGACAGAAGAGCAGGACUUCCUUAAGACCUUCCAAAAGUUCAGUUUCACUACUGUAGGUCCUCUUCGUCAAAGAUGUACCUGGAGCCUGUGUUCAAGUCCAUCAGUCACCUCCACACAGAGUAUAAGUGCUCUAGUGCAGAACAUGGCAUCCAGCCUCUGUCAAGAAAGUUUUCUCCAACAUUUUUAAUGCCUUAAAUCUAUCUCUUUUUCACCCAAAGAAAGACCAGUGUGAUACCUGCUGUGCAUUCAAGGCUGGGAACAUCGAAGCUGCCACAUGGGAGGAGCACUGCUUUAAAAGCAGAAGGACAAAGAAGAGGCAGUUGAAAAGACCUUGGUGGCAUGCAUGGAUCUACAGGGGCUCCUGCUCUGCCCAAAGCUGCAAGCCUCCACCCUCUUUUAUAAGACCAAGUCCAUCCGACCAGGACAAAAAGCUGGAGACCCAACAGUGCAUGACCUCUGAGCAAUCUGGUAUUUUAUCAUAUACAUUCAUUCUUGCACAAAUGUUGCUUUCUAUGUCAAUAGACAUCAGUGGUGGAAAGUACCUAAGUACAGUUACUCAAGUGCUGUACUUAAAUACAAUUUGAGGUACUUGUACUUGAGUAUUUCUAUUUCAUUUUAUGCUACUUUAUACUUCUACACUACAUUU